GCCCAGCACCGAAUCCUGUACCGUCCUGGUACUAGGAAAUGUGGUGUUUAGGCCGUGCUUUGUGCUGGUACGACUCUCCUCAAGUCCACUUGAUUGUGGCUUCAGGCCCAGAGAGGGUGUAAGGCCCGUGGAGGCGAGUUGUCUGGUGCCCGGCACGUCCUUAGAGUCGGGUUGUUUGGGAAUGCAGCCCUAAGCGGGUGGUAAACUCCAUCCAAGGCUAAAUACUAGCACGAGUCCGAUAGCGAAGAAGUACCGCGAGGGAAAGUUGAAAAGAACUUUGAAGAGAGAGUUCAAGAGUACGUGAAACCGCUGAGAGGCAAACUGGUGGAGCUGAAAUGGCUUCGAGGAAUUCAGCCCUUCGCGCGAUUGAUGAUGCUGGUUGUGGGAUCUCACGACUCCGCCGGUGUUAUUCGUUUGCGUGAUAGGUGCACUUUCCUCUUAGUCGGACCACGACCAGCGAACUGUCUUGUCUAAGAUUUGUGGAAGGUAGCUUUCGCUUCGGCGNAAGUGUUAUAGCCACUCAUUUGGAGCGAGCGGUGCGUUGGAUAACUUGAUGCCUGCCCUUUGGGCUCGUACGUUGACUUCUUUCUACGGUGUUUCCGGCUUCACUGCCUCGGCAGGGGUGUUGGGGAUACUGUGGCUCGAGUUGGCCUCUGCGAUUGGCGUCUACAGUCAGUGGUUUCGAAGUAGGCAGUCCACCUGACCCGUCUUGAAACACGGACCAAGGAGUCUAACAUGUGCGCGAGUCAUUGGGCUCUACGAAACCUAAAGGCGCAGUGAAAGUGAAGAUCCAUUUUGGUGGAUUGAGGUAGGAUCCUGGGUUACGUGCUCAGGCGCACUACCGGCCCGUUCGACAUGUCUUCAUGCGGGCGGAGCAAGAGCGUACACGUUGGGACCCGAAAGAUGGUGAACUAUGCUUGCGCAGGUC
rnacentral:rRNA from 1 species